rnacentral:rRNA from 1 species
UACGUAGGGGGCAAGCGUUGUCCGGAUUCAUUGGGCGUAAAGAGCGUGUAGGCGGCCAGGUAGGUCGGUUGUGAAAACUGGAGGCUCAACCUUCAGACGUCGACCGAAACCAUCUGGCUAGAGUCCGGGAGAGGAGAGUGGAAUUCCUGGUGUAGCGGUGAAAUGCGCAGAUAUCAGGAAGAACACCCGUGGCGAAAGCGGCUCUCUGGAACGGUACUGACGCUGAGACGCGAAAAGCGUGGGGGAGCGAACAGG